rnacentral:rRNA from 1 species
GAUGAACGCUGGCGGCGUGCUUAACACAUGCAAGUCGAACGGAAAGGCCCAAGUUUGCUUGGGUACUCGAGUGGCGAACGGGUGAGUAACACGUGGGUAAUCUGCCCUUCACUUCGGGAUAAGCCUGGGAAACUGGGUCUAAUACUGGAUAGGACCUCCUCCUGGAUGUUGUGGUGGAGAGUUUUUUCGGUGUGGGGAUGGCUCGCGGGCUAUCAGCUUGUUGGUGGGGUGAUGGGCUACCAAGGGGUCGUCGGGUAGCCGGCCUGGGAGGGUGUACGGGCACAAUGGGGAUGGGGGAAGGCCCAGAAUUCCAAGGGGGGGAAGAGGGGGGAAUAAUGGACAAUGGGGGGAAGGCUGGUGCAGCGAAGGCGGGGGGGGGAAGAAGGGCUUCGGGUUGUAAACUCGUUUCGGUAGGGAAGAAGCGGUUUGUGACGGUAACGGGUGAAGAAGCACCGGCUAACUACGUG